rfam:Delta proteobacterium MLS_D scaffold_39, whole genome shotgun sequence.
GAGGGAAGGCCCCUCGGUGCCGACAUGCAGGUGGAGGCUCCAAACCACCCUAAGCUGCUGUGGUCAAAAGCCACGGUAGUGAGCGUUAAGGAAAAGGCGGAGCAGGACUCCGUCAGGU